rnacentral:rRNA from 1 species
GAUGAACGCUGGCGGCGUGCCUAAUUCAUGCUAGUCGAGCGAACGGACGAGACGCUUGCUUCUCUGUUGUUUGCGGCGGACGGGUGAGUAACACGUGGAUAACCUACCUUCAAGACUGGGAUAACUUCGGGAAACUGGCGCUAAUACCGGAUAAUAUUUUGAACCGCAUGGUUCAAAAGUGAUAGACGGUCUUGCUGUCCCUUAUAGAUGGAUCCGCGCUGCAUUAGCUAGUUGGUAAGGUAACGGCUUACCAAGGCAACGAUGCAUAGCCGACCUGAGAGGGUGAUCGGCCACACUGGAACUGAGACACGGUCCAGACUCCUACGGGAGGCAACAGUAGGGAAUCUUCCGCAAUGGGCGAAAGCCUGACGGAGCAACGCCGCGUGAGUGAUGAAGGUCUUCGGAUCGUAAAACUCUGUUAUUAGGGAAGAACAUAUGUGUAAGUAACUGUGCACAUCUUGACGGUACCUAAUCAGAAAGCCACGGCUAACUACGUG